CCCUUAGAUGUUCUGGGCCGCACGCGCGCUACACUGAUGCAUUCAACGAGCCUAUCCUUGACCGACAGGUCCGGGUAAUCUUUGAAUCUGCAUCGUGACGGGGGUAGAUUAUUGCAAUUAUUAAUCUUCAACGAGGAAUGCCUAGUAGGCGCAAGUCAUCAGCUUGCGUCGAUUACGUCCCUGCCCUUUGUACACACCGCCCGUCGCUCCUACCGAUCGAAGAGUUAGGUGAAUUGUUUUGAUCGAUAAGAUUUGACUAUGGUCAACUCUCGUUGUGAAAUUCUGUGAAUCUGACUGUUUAGAGGAAGGAAAAGUCGUAACA
rnacentral:rRNA from 1 species